ACGUACACUCCUACGGGAGGCAGCAGUGGGGAAUAUUGCACAAUGGGCGCAAGCCUGAUGCAGCCAUGCCGCGUGUAUGAAGAAGGCCUUCGGGUUGUAAAGUACUUUCAGCGGGGAGGAAGGCGAUAAGGUUAAUAACCUUGUCGAUUGACGUUACCCGCAGAAGAAGCACCGGCUAACUCCGUGCCAGCAGCCGCGGUAAUACGGAGGGUGCAAGCGUUAAUCGGAAUUACUGGGCGUAAAGCGCACGCAGGCGGUCUGUCAAGUCGGAUGUGAAAUCCCCGGGCUCAACCUGGGAACUGCAUUCGAAACUGGCAGGCUAGAGUCUUGUAGAGGGGGGUAGAAUUCCAGGUGUAGCGGUGAAAUGCGUAGAGAUCUGGAGGAAUACCGGUGGCGAAGGCGGCCCCCUGGACAAAGACUGACGCUCAGGUGCGAAAGCGUGGGGAGCAAACAGGAUUAGAUACCCGUGUAGUCCCAUGAU
rnacentral:rRNA from 1 species